UCUCUGCCCUCUCCUCUCCCCAGUGCGGAAGGAAUGCAAUCGCUUACGGUUAGAUGAAGAAAUGGGCAAGUUCUGAGCUUAACUUACUUAAGUGCGUCUAGGGUCAGGCGGUACUUAAGGGAAUCUAACUCUUCAAGGACUCUUAACUCCCGUUCCCUCUUAAGACAGAAAGAAAGAUCGGGCCGGGGACACCGGUAUACUGUACUAAUAUGAGUCAGGAAAGGAAGCGAGCUCGACUAUCGACUAUUAAGGAAAGGAAAGCUGCUAGCUUAGCUCACGCGAAGCUGAGGGUCCUUAAGGAGCGCCCUAAUCGAAAUCGAAUAAGGUAAGGAGAGAGGACAAGGGGGCUUACGUGAAGCGUGAGGAAGCUUGGCUCAUUAAAGAUUCGAAGGAGAGCACAGAAAUAGAAGUGCUUUUAUCGAUCGGCUUGAUUGAACGGCUGGCUUGAUUGAGUACCGUAACUACAAUACAAUAGCUUUCUUGAGCUUGAGUAGACCGUUCGCUUUAGGGAAAAAGUAGCUCCCGGGGAUUGAAUCGCUUUUAUCCCCUAACAUAGUAAUGUGAGCUUGAUCAAAAUCCUUUCCUCCUUUAUAUUAGUAAGGCCUUUACUGGAAUACUGUGCUUGCUGCUUAUGGCUCACGAUCCCUUACCUCAGCCCUUUCCAGUCUCCUUGCUCUCAAUGCCCGAGAUGCCCCCUAUUUGAGUUUGAGUAAGGUGGUCUAUCAUAAAGCGAUAGGGUAGGGCGCCUUAUUGAAAACUAAAGUCAAGCAAAAUAAAGGGUUAGAUCCAGUACAGAUGUUGAAGAAAGCCUUACUUUACUCCUUUACAAAAAAACUGGAUGAGGGUUGGGUGGAACAGCCUUUAUUCAAGCAGUUCCCUGCCAAUCGAAGACCUUUUAGAAUGGAAGCUGCCUGGUUCUCUCAUGAAGACUUCGGCAAUUUAGUCAGGCGGGUCUGGGAACAACAGGAUCAAUCUCUGCAGAGUACUCUGGCCUCCUUCAAGGAGUCUUGUCUGGGGAGAACUUACGAAGAAGAGACGGCUUCUCAAGCGAAUUGAAGGCAUUCAGAAGUACCUCAGGCUCGAUCUUUCCCCUUGUUCGGUAGUAGCCUCGAUGCCGUAAUUCCAAGGCACAGCAUGAUUUCCCGUGUAAGGUUCCAAUUGAGGGAGGCUGAUAGUGAUGGGUCCCUUCGAGGGUGGAUAGGUGAUAACAAUCGGUUUUGGGAUGGGUCUGAGUGUUAG
rnacentral:lncRNA from 1 species